rnacentral:ncRNA from 2 species
CUUCCCGAGGAGCGUUGCAACAUGGGCGCAGCAAUGGAUAUUGCGCGGCAUGUGAGGCUCGGGGUGGCUCAGGUCAGGUGUACAUGCCGGUUGUGCGGCAGGUGGCCCUGUCCAUGCGCACAUUGGCAACGACGCUCAUCCGCA